AGGACGGAGCGGGGACCAUGGACCCGGCGGGACGGAUCUGUUUGCAAACAGCCGAGAGACAGCUGACUGAGGAGGGAGGAGGAAACCGGAAGUAGAUACCAGGCUGUGUUCCUGUUUUCUGCAAAGAUCGUUGAUUGACGCAUAACAUUUGACUCCAGCUCAUCUGAGCCCCACACACAUCUGGGUCCAGCCUGUGUUUCAAAAUUACCCAGAAGGCCUGCAGUGUGUGUUUUAGCCAGUCGGAAGGAAAUAGAGGAGGUAAUGAGCCUUUACUUCAAACCCUAUUACCCAGGAGCUUCUGCUGCGACCCAGCCCAAACCACGCUUGGCUGCCGUACAGUUUGGUCAAAUGGAGAAUGAGAUGGAUGAGACAUUCUCCUCUCUCCUCUCUGGCUGGUUAAAACAACUCCUCUGAGAAGAUGGAAGAGAAUAAUUUGGCAGGAAAUUGAGCUUAAUGAGAUCAAGAUCUUCACGAUCCUGAAGAGAGUAUGUGAUCUGUGUAGGGCAGAUUUAAUGAUUUUGGUCUGUGAUGUGUGAGCAAAAGUGAAAGGGACGGAGAACAAAGUAUGCAAAAUAUUCUGUGUAUGAAUUUAUUGAUUUGUUCUAUCUCAGUUGGGUUUUGUUAUCUCUUUGUUUGAAAAUCUAGUUGAGGUUUUGUCAGGUGACAUUUGUAAACUCUGUCAUUUCACAGACUGUGAUGCAUGAUGCUGGCACUGCCACUGUUUCCUGUUGUUAACUUUUCAGUGAACUGGAUUACUGGCUCUUUAUGUGAUUGGAGCCAAAGCUUUGUGUGCCCCAGAUAGUCCAUGUUGAUGCAGAAGUUGGUGCAGAAGUCCCUCUUCAUGCAUUUAUCAGAAUUAAUGCUGAAGACACUUGAUUAUUAUGCCGUCAAUCUUUUGGUUUGGAAAGGUAGAAAAUUAGAAUUUCCUUGAGGAGUUUGUGGAGCUUGUGUUAUCUGAACAAUCCAAUUUUAGUUUUGAGGAUUAUGAUGAUGAUUAAGCUCCCUCAUGAACUGAGACAAUUCUUCAGGACCAUAAAUCUCUGGUUUUAGAAAACAUAUCCCAAACACCAAUAUAUAAAGGCAUAUCUGCAGCCGGUGAACUUCCACACUGCGCACAUUCUGAUUUUAUAAUUAAAGAGGCUGCUUUCAGUCAUUUUAAAUGUUUCCAUGCAUGCAUGUGGUGUCACUAUAACAAAUAUGUGGCACAUUUAAGCAGGUAAAACUAAAAGCAGCAGUUAUAAACUUGGCAGGACAGAGGACAAUCUCCAGACGAUAAAGCAUCAAACUUUGAUCUUGUGAAAUUAGUGUCUGUAGACAGCUCUGAUGGGACUCUGGAUUUAUCAGGAUACACCUGUCUGAAUCCAUGCUGGAUCUGAUGCUGAUAUUUGAAGAAGCAGUAAGGGAAAGCAAAAUAGCUAAUUAGCAUUACUGCAUGCAGUUGGCUGAAAGUGUUGAACCAAGGGCUUGUGAAGGACUGAGUCUUUCUCUGAUUUGAUGUCCUGUUGGUCAGGUCUAAGCCACCACAUACUCGCUGCUGCCACCUGUUUGAUGGUGGUGUAACCUCAGCUAAAUUAAGUUUAGGCAGCGGAUAAAUGUGGUCAGUGGCCAAAGUUGGACUUCAGCCUGUUACAACUGUUACAUCCUGUUAACUAUUCCUAUAUGUUAUCUCAUGCGAGUUAAAGGUGGCUUGACCUGUACAAUCCUCACACAAGGUCUCGCCAUUUAUAUCUUUAGCACUUAGAACAACCAUUAAGCCUUUUGCCGUGCUCCAGUGAUACUCACAGCUGUCGCUUCUCUCACCACAAUGAGCCGAGCUUUAUUAAUCAUCAAAGGGAUUAAAAUUAUGGUGCCCAUAGGCUGUGAAAAGCUUAUCGGUAAUAUUGUGCAUGCAUCUGCACUUGCGUGUGUUCCACGUUUACCACGAUCAUCAGCUCACUUCAAUCAAUCACGAUGCCUUGAAUGAAUACAGUUGUGGCAUCGAGAUUAAACCCUGAUUUGUGACACUGUGUAGCAUUAAAUGAAGUGCCUGUAAUCCCAGUAAUAGUGACAGAUUUCUCACCACCUGUUGUUUAGUAUAGGCAUGCAUGUACUUGUUUGUCACACAACGCAGACAAAAUCGAUUGCUACUAGAUUUAAAACGCUCCGAAAGGGAACCUUUAAGUGUGCCAUCAGCAGAUGAAGAGUUAUGUGAUGCAAAGAAAUGUCAGCACAAGUUAAAAAUGUUUCAACUUGAGUGAAAAGGGGGAAAAAAAAGGUACAGUGAUGAGAGGAAUGAGGAUAGACCAGAGGGAUAAAAAAACAACUUGAGUUUCUAGUGAGAUCUGAGUUAAGUCAGAGGCUGAAACACACACAAUAUAGGCACACAGCACAGUCGAACAUCUGCACAGGCAAAAAUGACACCUAACUUACUCAUUAUCAUCACCAAAUGGCAAAAUUUUGUUUCAGCCAACACAAGAUGAUCACUCCAAAAAUAGUCAGCCUUCCUCUCCUCAUCAUCUUUUUUUUGUAUAUUUGGUCUCCACACACAGUUUUAUUCUAAGUGUCUGGUUUCGCUUCCUCUAUUCCUUUCCUCUCCUCUUCUCAUGCCUCUCGAUUUUAUUUGCC